rnacentral:rRNA from 2 species
CAGUCGAACGAGUUCUGAUUAUUGAAAGGUGCUUGCAUCUUGAUUUAAUUUUGAACGAGUGGCGGACGGGUGAGUAACACGUGGGUAACCUGCCCUUAAGUGGGGGAUAACAUUUGGAAACAGAUGCUAAUACCGCAUAAAUCCAAGAACCGCAUGGUUCUUGGCUGAAAGAUGGCGUAAGCUAUCGCUUUUGGAUGGACCCGCGGCGUAUUAGCUAGUUGGUGAGGUAACGGCUCACCAAGGCAAUGAUACGUAGCCGAACUGAGAGGUUGAUCGGCCACAUUGGGACUGAGACACGGCCCAAACUCCUACGGGAGGCAGCAGUAGGGAAUCUUCCACAAUGGACGCAAGUCUGAUGGAGCAACGCCGCGUGAGUGAAGAAGGCUUUCGGGUCGUAAAACUCUGUUGUUGGAGAAGAAUGGUCGGCAGAGUAACUGUUGUCGGCGUGACGGUAUCCAACCAGAAAGCCACGGCUAACUACGUGCCAGCAGCCGCGGUAAUACGUAGGUGGCAAGCGUUAUCCGGAUUUAUUGGGCGUAAAGCGAGCGCAGGCGGUUUUUUAAGUCUGAUGUGAAAGCCCUCGGCUUAACCGAGGAAGUGCAUCGGAAACUGGGAAACUUGAGUGCAGAAGAGGACAGUGGAACUCCAUGUGUAGCGGUGAAAUGCGUAGAUAUAUGGAAGAACACCAGUGGCGAAGGCGGCUGUCUGGUCUGUAACUGACGCUGAGGCUCGAAAGCAUGGGUAGCGAACAGGAUUAGAUACCCUGGUAGUCCAUGCCGUAAACGAUGAAUGCUAGGUGUUGGAGGGUUUCCGCCCUUCAGUGCCGCAGCUAACGCAUUAAGCAUUCCGCCUGGGGAGUACGACCGCAAGGUUGAAACUCAAAGGAAUUGACGGGGGCCCGCACAAGCGGUGGAGCAUGUGGUUUAAUUCGAAGCAACGCGAAGAACCUUACCAGGUCUUGACAUCUUUUGAUCACCUGAGAGAUCAGGUUUCCCCUUCGGGGGCAAAAUGACAGGUGGUGCAUGGUUGUCGUCAGCUCGUGUCGUGAGAUGUUGGGUUAAGUCCCGCAACGAGCGCAACCCUUAUGACUAGUUGCCAGCAUUUAGUUGGGCACUCUAGUAAGACUGCCGGUGACAAACCGGAGGAAGGUGGGGAUGACGUCAAAUCAUCAUGCCCCUUAUGACCUGGGCUACACACGUGCUACAAUGGAUGGUACAACGAGUUGCGAGACCGCGAGGUCAAGCUAAUCUCUUAAAGCCAUUCUCAGUUCGGACUGUAGGCUGCAACUCGCCUACACGAAGUCGGAAUCGCUAGUAAUCGCGGAUCAGCACGCCGCGGUGAAUACGUUCCCGGGCCUUGUACACACCGCCCGUCACACCAUGAGAGUUUGUAACACCCGAAGCCGGUGGC